rnacentral:tRNA from 1 species
GCCAGCAUGGCUCAGUGGUUGAGUGUCAAGCUAUAACCCUGGAGGUCACGGUUCAAUUCCUGUUCAGGGCA